AGCGUCGGUCGGCAAGCCGUGAGUGCCAGCAAAACACCUUGUUAUCGGCUUGAGUUUCUGGCAUUAGGGCUUCCAGUGGCAGCUUUGUCCGGUUUUUGGUCAUUUCAGGCAGUAAAGGAAGAGUGAGGAGUUUCGGCAGCCAACAGCCCUUAACGGCAGCCCUCAUUCCAGCAUCUUCUUGUUCUUGAAUAAGCUGUGGAACUUGAGGUAAGGUUUGGGGUUGUGGUCUUUGUUGUAGAUGAUUUCUAGUAGUGUUAGCAAAAGUUGUUAACUUAAGUUUAGAAAUAAAUCUAAAGGUGUAAUUAGGGUUAAUGAAGCUAACCCUAGUUGGACGAUGGAUUAGAAUUUA